rnacentral:rRNA from 1 species
GAUGAACGCUGGCGGCGUGCUUAACACAUGCAAGUCGAACGAAGAUGCCGGAGUGCUUGCACUUUGGCAGACUGAGUGGCGGACGGGUGAGUAACGCGUGGGUAACCUGCCUUAUACAGGGGGAUAACAGUUGGAAACGACUGCUAAUACCGCAUAAGCGCACGGUUCCGCAUGGAACAGUGUGAAAAACUCCGGUGGUCUGGGAUGGACCCGCGUCCGAUUAGUUAGUUGGCGGGGCAACGGCCCACCAAGACCGCGAUCGGUAGCCGACCUGANAGGGUGACCGGCCACAUUGGGACUGAGACACGGCCCAGACUCCUACGGGAGGCAGCAGUGGGGAAUAUUGCACAAUGGAGGAAACUCUGAUGCAGCGACGCCGCGUGAGCGAAGAAGUAUUUCGGUAUGUAAAGCUCUAUCAGCAGGGAAGAUAAUGACGGUACCUGACUAAGAAGCACCGGCUAAAUACGUG